UCCGCAGGCCGACGCUCUAUCCACUGAGCCAAACCAGUUUCGGCCCAAACUAAUUUUGACUAUAGCUGAUUUUCACCUUCUUCCCCCACUUUAGAACCUGAGACCAGAUGUGGUUUUCGGUGUGUGACAGCUACGUAGUGAGUCCCUGCUCUGUCAGUGUCAGGUGCUUCCCUCGGAGUAACAGUGCCGUGGGCAGGAUCCCCAUCGUACACUUGGACCAAGAGAAACCAGUACGCAGAAGAUGAAGAGGAUCUUCCCUAAAAACGGAUCUAUGUGAAGACCAAGAGUAAGCUCUGCGAGAACAGGGACUUUGCGUGAUUCAAUACAGGCACACCCCGUUUUACUGCACUUCACUUACUGCCGUUUUUACAAAUCGAAGAUUGCAGCACUGUGCGGGCACGGACGAGCAUUUCAAAGCCGUGGAAGACUCUUGUACAGGAGUUGCUGGUCAUGGACCGGGGAAGUUUGCACUAGGCCAGUGAUGGCGAACCUAUGACA